ncrna:Macaca mulatta (Rhesus monkey) microRNA mml-mir-532 precursor
UCUCUCCUCCAUGCCUUGAGUGUAGGACCGUUGGCAUCUUAAUUACCCUCCCACACCCAAGGCUUGCA